CACAGAACAUCAGCAUGGAUGUAGACACUUUCAGAAGUCUGGAUUCUACUGUGAUCCCUGUUUUGACUGUAACCAACGUCCAAGGCCUCAUGGGAAACCACUUAAGUGAUCUGAAGGUCUUUGAGAAUGACACUGUGGUCCAGGCGUGGGUAAACCUGCAGCUGCAGUCAGACCUGGACAGACUUGGUAUAGGCCUGAUCAGCAACAGGACCGAGCCAGCAACUACAACUACUUCUAGCUCCAGCAGCAGCAGCAGCAGCACAUCUAGUGCAACAGCAAAAACAACACAGGCUGCAACCACAAGUGGGGUUGCUGAGUUCAGAAGAUCUUCAACAUCCACAGUUCUGGCCACUCUGCUGAUAACUGCGCUACAAAUGCUACAACGACCAACUUAAACACUUAUAUGAUUUCAACAUGCUAAUCAACAAUCAGUCAUCAAUAAUAAUUAAAUUAAUUUCUAUAUUAUGCUCACUUAAAGUGAGAAAUGUAUUCAUUUCAUGAUUUUGUUAUUUCUUUGUGCCUCACUAAUAAACUGUAUAACUGAUAUAAAACUAAUAAUCA
rnacentral:lncRNA from 1 species